UACGUAGGGUGCAAGCGUUAAUCGGAAUUACUGGGCGUAAAGCGUGCGCAGGCGGUUUUUCAAGACAGAUGUGAAAUCCCCGGGCUUAACCUGGGAAUUGCGAUGGAGACUGCAAGGCUUGAAUCUGGCAGAGGGGGGUAGAAUUCCACGUGUAGCAGUGAAAUGCGUAGAGAUGUGGAGGAACACCGAUGGCGAAGGCAGCCCCCUGGGUCAAGAUUGACGCUCAUGCACGAAAGCGUGGGGAGCGAACAGG
rnacentral:rRNA from 1 species